rnacentral:rRNA from 1 species
UACGUAGGGUGCAAGCGUUAAUCGGAAUUACUGGGCGUAAAGCGUGCGCAGGCGGUGAUGUAAGACAGGUGUGAAAUCCCCGGGCUUAACCUGGGAACUGCAUUUGUGACUGCAUCGCUGGAGUGCGGCAGAGGGGGAUGGAAUUCCGCGUGUAGCAGUGAAAUGCGUAGAUAUGCGGGGGAACACCGAUGGCGAAGGCAAUCCCCUGGGCCUGCACUGACGCUCAUGCACGAAAGCGUGGGGAGCAAACAGG